UACGUAGGGUGCAAGCGUUAAUCGGAAUUACUGGGCGUAAAGCGUGCGCAGGCGGUGAUGUAAGACAGAUGUGAAAUCCCCGGGCUCAACCUGGGAACUGCAUUUGUGACUGCAUCGCUGGAGUGCGGCAGAGGGGGGUGGAAUUCCGCGUGUAGCAGUGAAAUGCGUAGAUAUGCGGAGGAACACCGAUGGCGAAGGCAGCCCCCUGGGAUAACACUGACGCUCAUGCACGAAAGCGUGGGGAGCAAACAGG
rnacentral:rRNA from 1 species